UCAAUGAUGAUCUUAGUAAACAGGCGGUGGCAUAUCGACAAAUGUCAUUAUUGUUAUGCCGACCACUAGGCUGCGCAGCUUUCCCAGGCGAUGUUUUCUAUUUACAUUCCCAUCUCUUAGAAAAAGCCGCUAAACGAUCGGACCAGACAGGUGCAGGUAGCUUGACCGCCUUACCCAUCAUUGAAACACAAGCUGGAGACGUAUCGGCCUAUCCAACCAAUGUGAUCUCCAUUACUGAUGGACAAAUCUGUUCGGAAAUAGAGCUCUUUUAUAGCGGAAUUAGACCCGCUAUUAACGCCGGUUUAUCUGUCAGCCGCGUCGGCCCUGCUGCUCAGUUGAAAAUUAUGAAGCAAGUCUUCGAUA
rnacentral:lncRNA from 1 species